AGAUGGUUCUGCUAUCACUCUUGGAUGGACCUGCGGUGCAUUAGCUAGUUGGUAAGGUAACGGCUUACCAAGGCAAUGAUGCAUAGCCGAGUUGAGAGACUGAUCGGCCACAUUGGGACUGAGACACGGCCCAAACUCCUACGGGAGGCAGCAGUAGGGAAUCUUCCACAAUGGACGAAAGUCUGAUGGAGCAACGCCGCGUGAGUGAAGAAGGGUUUCGGCUCGUAAAGCUCUGUUGGUAGUGAAGAAAGAUAGAGGUAGUAACUGGCCUUUAUUUGACGGUAAUUACUUAGAAAGUCACGGCUAACUACGUGCCAGCAGCCGCGGUAAUACGUAGGUGGCAAGCGUUGUCCGGAUUUAUUGGGCGUAAAGCGAGUGCAGGCGGUUCAAUAAGUCUGAUGUGAAAGCCUUCGGCUCAACCGGAGAAUUGCAUCAGAAACUGUUGAACUUGAGUGCAGAAGAGGAGAGUGGAACUCCAUGUGUAGCGGUGGAAUGCGUAGAUAUAUGGAAGAACACCAGUGGCGAAGGCGGCUCUCUGGUCUGCAACUGACGCUGAGGCUCGAAAGCAUGGGUAGCGAACAGGAUUAGAUACCCUGGUAGUCCAUGCCGUAAACGAUGAGUGCUAAGUGUUGGGAGGUUUCCGCCUCUCAGUGUGGCAGCUAAAGCAUUAAGCACUCCCGCCUGGGGAGUACGACCGCAAGGGUUGAAACUCAAAGGAAUUGACGGGGGCCCGCACAAGCGGUGGGAGCAUGUGGUUUAAUUCGAAGCAACGCGAAGAACCUUACCAGGUCUUGACAUCCAGUGCAAACCUAAGAGAUUAGGUGUUCCCUUCGGGGACGCUGAGACAGGUGGUGCAUGGCUGUCGUCAGCUCGUGUCGUGAGAUGUUGGGGUUAAGUCCCGCAACGAGCGCAACCCUUGUCAUUAGUUGCCAUCAUUAAGUUGGGCACUCUAAUGAGACUGCCGGUGACAAACCGGAGGAAGGUGGGGAUGACGUCAAGUCAUCAUGCCCCUUAUGACCUGGGCUACACACGUGCUACAAUGGACGGUACAACGAGAAGCGAACCUGCGAAGGCAAGCGGAUCUCUUAAAGCCGUUCUCAGUUCGGACUGUAGGCUGCAACUCGCCUACACGAAGCUGGAAUCGCUAGUAAUCGCGGAUCAGCACGCCGCGGUGAAUACGUUCCCGGGCCUUGUACACACCGCCCGUCA
rnacentral:rRNA from 1 species